CAAUAGCGUAUAUUUAAGUUGUUGCAGUUAAAAAGCUCGUAGUUGGAUUUCGGGUGGGAAUGGCCGGUCCGCCGUUUCGGUGUGCACUUGCUACGCCCACCUUGCUGCCGGGGACGUGCUCUUGAGUUCACGCUCGGGACACGGAGUCGGCGAGGUUACUUUGAGUAAAUUAGAGUGUUCAAAGCAGGCCUACGCUCUGAAUACAUUAGCAUGGAAUAACACGAUAGGACUCUGGCCUAUCUUGUUGGUCUGUAGGACCGGAGUAAUGAUUAAGAGGGACAGUCGGGGGCAUUCGUAUUUCAUUGUCAAAGGUGAAAUUCUUGGAUUUAUGAAAGACGAACUACUGCGAAAGCAUUUGCCAAGGAUGUUUUCAUUAA
rnacentral:rRNA from 1 species